rnacentral:rRNA from 1 species
CCUACGGGGUGCAGCAGUGGGGAAUAUUGGGCAAUGGGCGCAAGCCUGACCCAGCAACGCCGCGUGAAGGAAGAAGGCUUUCGGGUUGUAAACUUCUUUUCUGAGGGACGAAGAAAGUGACGGUACCUCAGGAAUAAGCCACGGCUAACUACGUGCCAGCAGCCGCGGUAAUACGUAGGUGGCAAGCGUUAUUCGGAUUUAUUGGGUGUAAAGGGGGUGGAGGCGGGAAAGCAAGUCAGAUGGGAAAACUCAGGGCUCAACCCUGAGCCUGCAUUUGAAACUGUUUUUCUUGAGUGCUGGAGAGGCAAUCGGAAUUCGGUGUGUAGCGGUGAAAUGCGUAGAUAUACGGAGGAACACCAGUGGCGAAGGCAGAUUGCUGGACAGUAACUGACGCUGAGGCGCGAAAGCGUGGGGAGCAAACAGGAUUAGAUACCCUGGUAGUC